rnacentral:rRNA from 1 species
UCGAACGCACCGCAAGGUGAGUGGCGCACGGGUGAGUAACGCGUGGGAAUGUACCGUUUAGUACGGAAUAGCUCCGGGAAACUGGAAUUAAUACCGUAUACGCCCUUCGGGGGAAAGAUUUAUCGCUAAACGAUCAGCCCGCGUGAGAUUAGGUAGUUGGUGGGGUAAUGGCCUACCAAGCCUACGAUCUCUAGCUGGUCUGAGAGGAUGAUCAGCCACACUGGAACUGAGACACGGUCCAGACUCCUACGGGAGGCAGCAGUGGGGAAUAUUGGACAAUGGGGGCAACCCUGAUCCAGCCAUGCCGCGUGAAUGAUGAAGGCCUUAGGGUUGUAAAGUUCUUUUACCGAUGAAGAUAAUGACGGUAGUCGGAGAAAAAGCCCCGGCUAACUUCGUGCCAGCAGCCGCGGUAAUACGAAGGGGGCUAGCGUUGUUCGGAUUUACUGGGCGUAAAGCGUACGUAGGUGGUCGUGCAAGUCAGUGGUGAAAUCCCAGAGCUUAACUCUGGAACUGCCAUUGAAACUGCUCGGCUUGAAUCUCAGAGGGGGUGGCGGAAUUGCUAAUGUAGGGGUGAAAUCCGUAGAUAUUAGCAGGAACACCGAUGGCGAAGGCAGCCACCUGGAUGAGUAUUGACACUGAGGUACGAAAGCGUGGGGAUCAAACAGGAUUAGAUACCCUGGUAGUCCACGCUGUAAACGAUGAAUGCUAGUUGUUGGAACUUUCAGUUUCAGUGACGAAGCUAACGCAUUAAGCAU